AUGGGGGAAACCUGAUGCAGCGACGCAGCGUGCGGGAUGACAGGCCGCCCUUCGGGUUGUAACCGCUUUCAGCAGGGAAGAAGCCUUAUCGGUGACGGUACUGCAGAAGAAGUACCGGCUAACUACGUGCCAGCAGCCGCGGUAAUACGUAGGGUACAAGCGUUGUCCGGAAUUAUUGGGCGUAAAGAGCUCGUAGGUGGUUGGUCACGUCUGCUGUGGAAACGCAACGCUUAACGUUGCGCGUGCAGUGGGUACGGGCUGACUAGAGUGCAGUAGGGGAGUCUGGAAUUCCUGGUGUAGCGGUGAAAUGCGCAGAUAUCAGGAGGAACACCGGUGGCGAAGGCGGGACUCUGGGCUGUAACUGACACUGAGGAGCGAAAGCAUGGGGAGCGAACAGGAUUAGAUACCCUGGUAGUCCAUGCCGUAAACGUUGGGCACUAGGUGUGGGGGGCAUUCCACGUUCUCCGCGCCGUAGCUAACGCAUUAAGUGCCCCGCCUGGGGAGUACGGUCGCAAGGCUAAAACUCAAAGGAAUUGACGGGGGCCCGCACAAGCGGCGGAGCAUGCGGAUUAAUUCGAUGCAACGCGAAGAACCUUACCAAGGCUUGACAUACACCAGACCGUUCUGGAAACAGUUCCUCCCCUUUGGGGUUGGUGUACAGGUGGUGCAUGGUUGUCGUCAGCUCGUGUCGUGAGAUGUUGGGUUAAGUCCCGCAACGAGCGCAACCCUCGUUCUAUGUUGCCAGCACGUAAUGGUGGGAACUCAUAGGAGACUGCCGGGGUCAACUCGGAGGAAGGUGGGGAUGACGUCAAAUCAUCAUGCCCUUUAUGUCUUGGGCUUCACGCAUGCUACAAUGGCUGGUACAGAGAGAUGCGAGACCGCGAGGUUUUAGCGAAUCCCUUAAAGCCAGUCUCAGUUCGGAUCGUAGUCUGCAAUUCGACUACGUGAAGUCGGAGUCGCUAGUAAUCGCAGAUCAGCAACG
rnacentral:rRNA from 1 species